rnacentral:rRNA from 1 species
UGGGGAAUUUUGGACAAUGGGCGCAAGCCUGAUCCAGCCAUGCCGCGUGCGGGAAGAAGGCCUUCGGGUUGUAACCGCUUUUGNCAGGGAAGAAAUCUUCUGAGUUAAUACCCUCGGGAGGAUGACGGUACCUGAAGAAUAAGCACCGGCUAACUACGGUGCCAGCAGCCGCGGUAAUACGUAGGGUGCAAGCGUUAAUCGGAAUUACUGGGCGUAAAGCGUGCGCAGGCCGUUUUGUAAGACAGAGGUGAAAUCCCCGGGCUCAACCUGGGAACUGCCUUUGUGACUGCAAGGCUUGAGUGCGGCAGAGGGGGAUGGAAUUCCGCGUGUAGCAGUGAAAUGCGUAGAUAUGCGGAGGAACACCGAUGGCGAAGGCAAAUCCCCCUGGGGCCCUGCACUGACGCUCAUGC